rnacentral:rRNA from 1 species
AGCGAACGCUGGCGGCAGGCUUAACACAUGCAAGUCGAGCGCCGUAGCAAUACGGAGCGGCAGACGGGAGAGUAACACGUGGGAACGUACCCCUCGGUUCGGAAUAACUCAGGGAAACUUGAGCUAAUACCGGAUACGUCGGCAACGAGAAAGAUUUAUCGCCGAGGGAUCGGCCCGCGUCCGAUUAGCUAGUUGGUGGGGUAAUGGCCCACCAAGGCGACGAUCGGUAGCUGGUCUGAGAGGAUGAUCAGCCUCACUGGGACUGAGACACGGCCCAGACUCCUACGGGAGGCAGCAGUGGGGAAUAUUGGACAAUGGGCGCAAGCCUGAUCCAGCCAUGCCGCGUGGGUGAUAAGGCCUUAGGGUUGUAAAGCCCUUUCGGCGGGGAAGAUAAUGACGGUACCCGCAGAAGAAGCCCCGGCUAACUUCGUGCCAGCCGCCGCAGUAACAC